UACGUAGGGUGCGAGCGUUGUCCGGAAUUAUUGGGCGUAAAGAGCUCGUAGGCGGUCUGUCGCGUCGAUCGUGAAAACUUGGGGCUUAACCCUGAGCUUGCGGUCGAUACGGGCAUGACUGGAGUUCGGCAGGGGAGACUGGAAUUCCUGGUGUAGCGGUGAAAUGCGCAGAGAUCAGGAGGAACACCCGUGGCGAAGGCGGCACUCUGGGUCGGCCCUGACGCUGAGGCGCGAAAGCGUGGGGAGCGAACGGGA
rnacentral:rRNA from 1 species